rnacentral:rRNA from 1 species
GAUGAACGCUGGCGGCGUGCCUAAUACAUGCAAGUCGAACGAGGUCCUUGCCUUCGGGUGAGGUCCUAGUGGCGAACGGGUGAGUAACACGUUGGUGACCUGCCCCGAAGAGGGGGACAACCCCGGGAAACUGGGGCUAAUACCCCAUGUGAUCCAGAGAGUUAGAGGUCUUUGGAUGAAAUGGAGCAAUCCGCUUCGGGAGGGGCCUGCGGCCUAUCAGCUAGUUGGUAGGGUAACGGCCUACCAAGGCGACGACGGGUAGGGGGCCUGAGAGGGUGAUCCCCCACACUGGAACUGAAACACGGACCAGACACCUACGGGUGGCAGCAGUAGGGAAUAUUGCCCAAUGGACGAAAGUCUGAGGCAGCAACGCCGCGUGCGCGAUGAAGGCCUUCGGUCGUAAG